rnacentral:tRNA from 1 species
GGCGUGGUGCCAGAGUGGUUAAUGGGUGAGACUCGAAUCCUGCUUCGCAUUGCAAGCAGCGUAUAAGAUAUCUCAUGACUUCGGUCGCGCAAGUUCGAAUCUUGUCCACGUCG